UACGGGGGGGGUAAGCGUUGUCCGGAUUCAUUGGGCGUAAAGAGCUCGUAGGCGGUUCGAUAAGUCGGGUGUGAAACCUCCAGGCUCAACCUGGAGACGCCACCCGAUACUGUCGUGACUAGAGUCCAGUAGGGGAGCGUGGAAUUCCUGGUGUAGCGGUGAAAUGCGCAGAUAUCAGGAGGAACACCAGCGGCGAAGGCGGCGCUCUGGGCUGGAACUGACGCUGAGGAGCGAAAGCGUGGGGAGCGAACAGG
rnacentral:rRNA from 1 species